rnacentral:rRNA from 1 species
CAGGGAAUUUUGCACAAUGGACGAAAGUUCUGAUGCAGCGACGCCGCGUGGGGGAUGAAUGCCUUCGGGUUGUAAACCCCUUUCAGGAGGGACGAAGCGAAAGUGACGGUACCUCCAGAAGAAGCCCCGGCCAACUACGUGCCAGCAGCCGCGGUAAUACGUAGGGGGCGAACGUUGUCCGGAUUUAUUGGGCGUAAAGAGCUCGUAGGCGGCUCAGCAAGUCGGCCGUGAAAACCCGGGGCUCAACCCCGGGACGCCGGUCGAAACUGCUGUGGCUAGGGUCCGGUAGAGGAGAGUGGAAUUCCCGGUGUAGCGGUGAAAUGUGCAGAUAUCGGGAGGAACACCAGUUGCGAAGGCGGCUCUCUGGGCCGGUACCGACGCUGAGGAGCGAAAGCGUGGGGAGCAAACAGGAUUAGAUACCCUGGUAGUCCACGCCGUAAACGAUGGGCACUAGGUGUGGGAGGUGUCGACUCCUCCCGUGCCGCAGCUAACGCAUUAAGUGCCCCGCCUGGGGAGUACGGUCGCAAGACUA